rnacentral:rRNA from 1 species
CGGCGUGCCUAACACAUGCAAGUCGAACGAGGUCCAUCCUUCGGGAGAAGACCUAGUGGCGAACGGGUGAGUAACACGUGAAGAACCUGCCCCGAAGACCGGGAUAACCCUCCGAAAGGAGAGCUAAUACCGGAUACCCCCACGAACCGCAUGGUUGGUGAGGAAAUGGAUUCCGCUUCGGGAGGGCUUCGCGGCCUAUCAGCUAGUUGGUGGGGUAACGGCCCACCAAGGCAUCGACGGGUAGCUGGUCUGAGAGGACGAUCAGCCACACUGGGACUGAGACACGGCCCAGACUCCUACGGGAGGCAGCAGUGGGGAAUCUUGCGCAAUGGGCGAAAGCCUGACGCAGCAACGCCGCGUGGGGAUGAAGGCUCUCGGGUUGUAAACCCCUUUCAGCAGGGACGAAUCAAGACGGUACCUGCAGAAGAAGCCCCGGCUAACUACGUG